rnacentral:misc_RNA from 1 species
GAUGAAGAACGCAGCAAAAUGCGAUAAGUAAUGUGAAUUGCAGAAUUCAGUGAAUCAUCGAAUCUUUGAACGCACAUUGCGCCCGCUGGUAUUCCGGCGGGCAUGCCUGUUCAAGCGUCAUUUCAACCCUCAAGCCCCCGGGUUUGGUGUUGGGGAUCGGCUCUGCCCUUCUGGGCGGUGCCGCCCCCGAAAUACAUUGGCGGUCUCGCUGCAGCCUCCAUUGCGUAGUAGCUAACACCUCGCAACUGGAACGCGGCGCGGCCAUGCCGUAAAACCCCAACUUCUGAAUGUUGACCUCGGAUCAGGUAGGAAUACCCGCUGAACUUAAGCAUAUCAAUAAGCGGAGGA